UACAGAGGUCUCAAGCGUUGUUCGGAUUCAUUGGGCGUAAAGGGUGCGUAGGCGGCGCGGUAAGUCGGGUGUGAAAUCUUGGAGCUUAACUCCGAAACUGCAUUCGAUACUGCCGUGCUUGAGGACUGGAGAGGAGACUGGAAUUUACGGUGUAGCGGUGAAAUGCGUAGAUAUCGUAAGGAACACCGGUGGCGAAGGCGGGUCUCUGGGCCGAUAUUGACGCUGAGGAGCGAAAGCGUGGGGAGCAAACAGG
rnacentral:rRNA from 1 species